CCCUAAACCGGUAGUUUUGCACAGAAAAAAAAACCCUUGCGGUUUUUCCCUCUCAUGUGAGGGUUUUUUCCCCUCCUUGAGCUACCACCUUACCGUGGUGGAGGGGUUUGUGUGUCCCAAUGAUCCCAGGAGCUAUGUUGUCAGGGCUUUAUGCCUCUGAAAGGUCACCCAAGGCAAACAGGUCCUGGGGGAGUGACCAGACUAAGAGUAGCUCAUCCAGACAGAGGUGCCAGGCAGAAAAAUAGGAAAAAAAAAACUGAAGAAAAAAAAACAAAAAAAAAAACUAAAAAAAGAGAAAGGAUAGUAUAAACAAAAUAAAAAAAGAAGGAAAAGUAUUUCAGAAAAGAACAACCUAUAUAUAUAUAUAAAUAACAAAAAACUAAAAAAAAGCUAAAAAACAAACUUAAAACAGGCAGAAAAAAAUAAAGAAAACUAAAAAAAGAGAAAGAAUAGUAUAAACAAAAAAAAAAAAAACAGAAGGAAAAGUAUUUCAGAAAAGAACAACCUAUAUAUAUAUAUAACAAAAAAACUAAAAAAAACUAAAAAACAAACUUAAAACAGGCAGAAAAAAUAAAGAAAACUAAAAAAAGAGAAAGAAUAGUAUAAACAAAAAAAAACAGAAGGAAAAGUAUUUCAGAAAAGAACAACCUAUAUAUAUAUAUAUAUAUAUAUAUAUAUAUAUAUAUAUAGAAAAACUAAAAGAAAAAACUGAAAAAAAACUUUAAACAGGCAGAAAAAAAACUAAAGAAAACUAAAAAAAGAGAAAGGAUAGUAUAAACAAAAUAAAAAACAAACAAAAGGAAAAGUAUUUCAGAAAAGAACAACCUAUAUAAAUAUAUAUAACAAAAAAACUAAAAAAAACUUAAAAAAAAACUUAAAACAGGCAGAAAAAAAUAAAGAAAACUACAAAGGAGAAAGAAUAGUAUAAACAAAAACAAAAAAACAGAAAGAAAAGUAUAUCUGAAAAAAACACCCUAAAUAUAUAUAUUUAUAACAAAAAACUAAAAGAAAAAACUAAAAAACAAACUUAAAACAGGCAGAAUAAAACUAAAGAAAACUAUAAAAAGAGAAAGGAUAGUAUAAACAAAAUAAAAAAAACAGAAGGAAAAGUAUAUCUGACAAAACACCCUAAAUAUGUAUAAAUAUAUAUAUAUAUAACAAAAAAACUAAAGAAAACAAAAAAAUAGAGAAAAGAUUAGUAUUUUAAAAAAUUUUUUUAAAAAAAACUUAAAACAGGCAGAAAAAAACUAAAGAAAACUUAAAAAAGAGAAAGAAUUGUAUAAAUAAAAUAAAAAAAAAACAGAAAGAAAAGUAUAUCCGAAAAAAACACCACUUUAAAUAUAUAUAUAUGAUAAAAAUAAACUAAAAAAAAAUUAAAACAGGCAGAAAAAUAAAAAAGAUAUAUAGGAAACUAAAAACAAAGAAAAGUAUUUUUGAAAAAAAAAAAAAAACCCACACUAAACCGGGUGUUUUGCACAGAAAAAAAAACCCUUGCGGUUUUUCCCUCUCAUGUGAGGGUUUUUUCCCCUCCUUGAGCUACCACCUUACCGUGGUGGAGGGGUUUGUGUGUCCCAAUGAUCCCAGGAGCUAUGUUGUCAGGGCUUUAUGCCUCUGAAAGGUCAACCAAGGCAAACAGGUCCUGGGGGAGGGACCAGACUAAGAGUAGCUCAUCCAGACAGAGGUGCCAGGCAAAAAAAUAGGGAAAAAAAAACUGAAGAAAACAAACUAAAGAAAACAAAAAAGACAAAACAAUAGUAUUUCUGAGAAUAAACAACUUUAAAAAAACUUAAAAAAAAACUAAAAAAAAGACUUAAAACAAGAAGAAAAAAAACUAAAGAAAACUACAAAAAGAAGAAAAAGAAUGGUAUUUCUAAAAAAACUUGAAAAAACACUAAAAAAAUUUAAAAAGGCAGAAAAAACUAAAUAAUAGUAAAAAAAGGAGAAAGAAUAGUAUAACCAAAAUAAAAAAACAGAAAGAAAAGUAUUACUUUAAAAAACACUAAAUAUAUAUAUAUAAAUAUAUAUAUAUAUAUAUAUAUAUAUAUAUAACAAAAAACUAAAAAAACAAAAAAAAACUUAAAACAGGCAGAAAAAAAUAAAGAAAACUAAAAAAGAGAAAGAAUAGUAUAAACAAAAUAAAAAACAGAAAGAAAAGUUUAUCUAAAAAAAAUACUUUAAAUAUAUAUAACAAAACAAUUAAAAUAAACUUUGAACAGGCAGAAAAACAACUAAAGAAAACUAAAAAAAGAGAUAGAAUAGUAUAAACAAAAUAAAAAAAUCAGAACGAAAAGUACAUCUGAAAAAAACACUUUAAAUAUAAAUAUAUAACAAAAAAAACUUAAAACAGGCAGAAAAAACUAAAGAAAACUAAAAAAAGAGAAAGAAUAGUAUAAACAAAAUAAAAAAUAGAAAGAAAAGUAUUUCUGAAAAAAAAAAUCUAAAUAUAUAAAUAACAAAAAAAAACUUAAAACAGGCAGAAAAAAAUAAAGAAAACUAAAAAAGGAGAAAUAAUAGUAUAAACAAAAUAAAAAAAACAGAAAGAAAAGUUUAUCUAUAAAAAACUUUAAAUAUAUAUAUAUAACAAAAAACUAAAAUAAACGUUAUACAGGCAGAAAAACAACUAAAGAAAACUAAAAAAAGAGAAAGAAUAGUAUGAACAAAAUAAAAAAAUCAAAAAGAAAAGUUUAUCUAAAAAAAACUUUAAAUAUAUAUAUAACAAAAAACUAAAAUAAACUUUAAACAGGCAGAAAAACAACUAAAGAAAACAAAAAGAAGAGAAAGAAUAGUAUAAACAAAAUUAAAAAAUCAAAAAGAAAAGUAUAUCUAAACAACACUUUAAAUAUAUAUAUAACAAAAAACAAAAAAAAACUUAAAACAGGCAGAAAAAAAACUAAAGAAAACUAGAAAAAAGAAGUAAAAGAAUAGUAUUUGUAAAAAAAAAGACUAAAAAAAAGAAACAUAACAGUAUUUCUGAAAAAAAAACUUAAAACAGGCAGAAAAAUAAAAAAUAUAUAUAGGAAACUAAAAACAAAGAAAAGUAUUUUUGAAAAAAAAAAAAAAACCCACACUAAACACUAAACCGGGUGUUUUGCACAGAAAAAAAAAACCCUUGCGGUUUUUCCCUCUCAUGUGAGGGUUUUUUCCCCUCCUUGAGCUACCACCUUAUCAUGGUGGAGGGGUUUGUGUGUCCCAAUGAUCCCAGGAGCUAUGUUGUCAGGGCUUUAUGCCUCUGAAAGGUCACCCAAGGCAAACAGGUCCUGGGGGAGAGACCAGACUAAGAGUAGCUCAUCCAGACAGAGGUGCCAGGCAAGAAAAAUAGGAAAAAAGAAAAACUGAAGAAAACAAACUAAAGAAAACAAAAAGACAAAAGAAUAGUAUUUCUGAAAAUAAACAACUUUAAAAAAUAUUUUUUAAAAACUAAAAAAAAAACUUAAAACAGGCAGAAAAAAAACUAAAGACAACUACAAAAAGAAGAAAAAGAAUAGUAUUUGUAAAAAGAAAAGACUAAAAGAAAAAGAAACAUAACAGUAUUUCUAAAAAAAAACUUAAAACAGGCAGAAAAAUAAAAAAGAUAUAUUGGAAACUAAAGAAAAGAAAAGUAUUUCUGGAAAAAAUAAAAAAAACUGAAAACAGGCAAAAAAAACUAAAGAAAACUAAAACAAGGGAAAGAACAGUAUAAACAAAAUAGAAAAAACAGAAAGAAAAGUAUAUCUGAAAAAAACACUUUAAAUAUAUAUAAAUAACAAAAAACUAAAAAUAACUAAAAACAGGCAGAAAAAAACUAAAGAAAACUAAAAAAAAGAGAAAAAAUAGUAUAAACAAAAUAAAAAAAAGAAAGUAAAGUUUAUCUGAAAAAAACACUUUAAAUACAUAUAUAUAUAUAUAUAUAUAUAAAUAAAAAAAACUAAAAACAGGCUGAAAAAAACUAAAGAAAACUUAAAAAAGAGAAAGAAUAGUAUAAAUAAAAUAAAAAAACAGAAAGAAAAAUAUAUCUGAAAAAAAACACUUUAAAUAUAUAUAUAAUAAAAAAAGCUAAAAAAAAAUUAAAACAGGCAGAAAAAUAAAAAAGAUAUAUAGGAAACUAAAAACAAAGAAAAGUAUUUUUGAAAAAAAAAACAAACAAAAAAAACCCCACCCUAAACCGGGUGUUUCGCACAGAAAAAAAAACCCUUGCGGUUUUUCCCUCUCAUGUGAGGGUUUUUUCCCCUCCUUGAGCUACCACCUUACCGUGGUGGAGGGGUUUGUGUGUCCCAAUGAUCCCAGGAGCUAUGUUGUCAGGGCUUUAUGCCUCUAAAAGGUCACCCAAGGCAAACAGGUCCUGGGGGAGAGACCAGACUAAGAGUAACUCAUCCAGACAGAGGUGCCAGGCAAGAAAAAUAGGAAAAAAAAACUGAAGAAAACAAACUAAAGAAAACAAAAAGACAAAACAAUAGUAUUUCUGAAAAUAAACAACUUUAAAAAAUAUUUUUUAAAAACUAAAAAAAAAAACUUAAAACAGGCAGAAAAAAAACUAAAGACAACUACAAAAAGAAGAAAAAGAAUAGUAUUUGUAAAAAAAAAAGACUAAAAGAAAAAGAAACAUAACAGUAUUUCUAAAAAAAAAAACUUAAAACAGGCAGAAAAAUAAAAAAGAUAUAUUGGAAACUAAAGAAAAGAAAAGCAUUUCUGGAAAAAAUAAAAAAAACUGAAAACAGGCAAAAAAAACUAAAGAAAACUAAAACAAGAGAAAGAACAGUAUAAACAAAAUAGAAAAAACAGAAAGAAAAGUAUAUCUGAAAAAAAACACUUUAAAUAUAUAUAAAUAACAAAAAAACUAAAAAUAACUAAAAACAGGCAGAAAAAAACUAAAGAAAACUAAAAAAAGAGAAAAAAUAGUAUAAACAAAAUAAAAAAAAGAAAGUAAAGUUUAUCUGAAAAAAACACUUUAAAUACACAUAUAUAUAUAUAUAAAAAUAAAAAAAACUAAAAACAGGCUGAAAAAAACUAAAGAAAACUUAAAAAAGAGAAAGAAUAGUAUAAAUAAAAUAAAAAAACAGAAAGAAAAAUAUAUCUGAAAAAAAACACUUUAAAUAUAUAUAUAACAAAAAAAGCUAAAAAAAAAUUAAAACAGGCAGAAAAAUAAAAAAGAUAUAUAGGAAACUAAAAACAAAGAAAAGUAUUUUUGAAAAAAAAAACAAACAAAAAAAACCCCACCCUAAACCGGGUGUUUCGCACAGAAAAAAAAACCCUUGCGGUUUUUCCCUCUCGUGAGGGUUUUUUCCCCUCCUUGAGCUACCACCUUAUCGUGGUGGAGGGGUUUGUGUGUCCCAAUGAUCCCAGGAGCUAUGUUGUCAGGGCUUUGUGCCUCUGAAAGGUCACCCAAGGCAAACAGGUCCAGGGGGAGAGACCAGACUAAGAGUAGCUCAUCCAGACAGAGGUGCCAGGCAAAAAAAUAGGAAAAAAAAAACCUGAAGAAAACAAACUAAAGAAAACAAAAAAGACAAAAGAAUACUAUUUCUGAGAAUAAACAACUUUAAAAAAUUUAAAAAGAAACUAAAAAAAAGACUUAAAACAGGCAGAAAAAAACCAAAGACAACUACAAAAAGAGAAAAAAGAAUAGUAUUUCUAAAAAAAACUUGAAAAAAACUAAAAAAAAACUUAAAACAGGCAG